CACGAACCGUACGAACGUUAUUCGGAAUUACUGGGCUUAAAGGGUUUGUAGGCGGCCAUGUAAGUCAGGUGUGAAAUCCCUCGGCUCAACCGAGGAACGGCGCUUGAUACUGCAUGGCUUGAGGGAGACAGGGGUAAGCGGAACUGAUGGUGGAGCGGUGAAAUGCGUUGAUAUCAUCAGGAACACCGGUGGCGAAAGCGGCUUACUGGGUCUCUUCUGACGCUGAGGAACGAAAGCUAGGGGAGCGAACGGG
rnacentral:rRNA from 1 species